CAACCUUUUUAUCGAGACCCAAUUUUCCAUAAACUCUUCUUAUUUCCCCCACUUUCAAGCAAUGGGGAAGCAAAAACUAAACCCAGAAGAGUUUGUGGAAGGGAACCAGAAGCUUGCGACAUAGAUACUGAACCAAAACUUUUCAUAUGUGGCAUUAAAUCAAAACAUGAAAAUUUCAGAGAGAGAGAGGGUCAAACUCUUCAUCCUCACUUGCGAACUCAAACUCCACAUCCCAUGGUCUCUAGUGUACCCAUACCUGAUCCAAUAACUCAAAACGAUUUUGGGGAGAUCUGAUGAGUGAGAUGGUGCCUAGAUAUGAGAGGUGAUUGAGAGAGAGAGAGAGAGAGAGAGAGAUGCGGUUGGUGGCUGGGUUCUAGGGGCUGGGGGGAGAUUAAAGAAAUUCGGAGCUGGGGGGCAGAUGAAGGAAAGGGAUGGGUCUAGGUUUGUGAUGGGGGAGAAAAAAUUGUAAGAAAUCAUCCAGGGGUGGCGGGGGUGUGGGUUUGUGAUGGGUUCUGCAAAUUAGUUGAAAGAGAGAUGGGGAGGGUCUUCAUGGUUAGAAUGGUCGCGGGGUGGAGGGGGUGAUGGCUGGUCGGGAUAGGAAGGGAGAAGAAAAGGGGGAGGAAGGUAUGAUGGUCAUGGGUGAAAUGGGGCGCUGGUUUGGUCAG
rnacentral:lncRNA from 1 species